AUUGAACGCUGGCGGCAGGCCUAACACAUGCAAGUCGAGCGGCAGCGGAAAGUAGCUUGCUACUUUGCCGGCGAGCGGCGGACGGGUGAGUAAUGUCUGGGAAACUGCCUGAUGGAGGGGGAUAACUACUGGAAACGGUAGCUAAUACCGCAUGACCUCGAAAGAGCAAAGUGGGGGAUCUUCGGACCUCACGCCAUCGGAUGUGCCCAGAUGGGAUUAGCUAGUAGGUGAGGUAAUGGCUCACCUAGGCGACGAUCCCUAGCUGGUCUGAGAGGAUGACCAGCCACACUGGAACUGGGACACGGUCCAGACUCCUACGGGAGGCAGCAGUGGGGAAUAUUGCACAAUGGGCGCAAGCCUGAUGCAGCCAUGCCGCGUGUGUGAAGAAGGCCUUAGGGUUGUAAAGCACUUUCAGCGAGGAGGAAGGCAUCAUACUUAAUACGUGUGGUGAUUGACGUUACUCGCAGAAGAAGCACCGGCUAACUCCGUGCCAGCAGCCGCGGUAAUACGGAGGGUGCAAGCGUUAAUCGGAAUUACUGGGCGUAAAGCGCACGCAGGCGGUUUGUUAAGUCAGAUGUGAAAUCCCCGCGCUUAACGUGGGAACUGCAUUUGAAACUGGCAAGCUAGAGUCUUGUAGAGGGGGGUAGAAUUCCAGGUGUAGCGGUGAAAUGCGUAGAGAUCUGGAGGAAUACCGGUGGCGAAGGCGGCCCCCUGGACAAAGACUGACGCUCAGGUGCGAAAGCGUGGGGAGCAAACAGG
rnacentral:rRNA from 1 species